rnacentral:rRNA from 1 species
GAUCAUGGCUCAGAUUGAACGCUGGCGGCAGGCCUAACACAUGCAAGUCGAGCGGAUGAAAGGAGCUUGCUCCUGGAUUCAGCGGCGGACGGGUGAGUAAUGCCUAGGAAUCUGCCUGGUAGUGGGGGACAACGUUUCGAAAGGAACGCUAAUACCGCAUACGUCCUACGGGAGAAAGCAGGGGACCUUCGGGCCUUGCGCUAUCAGAUGAGCCUAGGUCGGAUUAGCUAGUUGGUGAGGUAAUGGCUCACCAAGGCGACGAUCCGUAACUGGUCUGAGAGGAUGAUCAGUCACACUGGAACUGAGACACGGUCCAGACUCCUACGGGAGGCAGCAGUGGGGAAUA